rnacentral:rRNA from 1 species
GUGAGGAAUUUUCCGCAAUGGGCGAAAGCCUGACGGAGCAAUGCCGCGUGAAGGAUGAAGGCCUAUGGGUUGUAAACUUCUUUUCUCAGAAAAGAAUUAUGACGGUAUCUGAGGAAUAAGCAUCGGCUAACUCUGUGCCAGCAGCCGCGGUAAGACAGAGGAUGCAAGCGUUAUCCGGAAUGAUUGGGCGUAAAGCGUCUGUAGGUUGUUUAAAAAGUAUUCUGUCAAAGAUUAGGGCUUAACCCUAGAUAGGCAGAAUAAACUUUUAAGCUAGAGUUUGGUAGAGGCAGAGGGAAUUCCCGGUGGAGCGGUGAAAUGCGUAGAUAUCGGGAGGAACACCAAAGGCGAAGGCACUCUGCUGGGCCAAUACUAACACUGAGAGACGAAAGCGAGGGGAGCAAAUGGGAUUAGAUACCGGAGUAGUCC